rnacentral:lncRNA from 1 species
GUGUCGAUGCAGCCCUGCCAACCCGUACGAACUCGUGAAAGAAGAAAAGUAUUGGCGAAGUCACCGACUUAGAAGUAAAAUGCGAUGAAAAAGUAGAUUUGUUUGUAUUGAUUGAUGUGUUCUUUACAAAUCUCUGAGGAUGGCUAUUUAUAGCCUGUUACAACCAAUUUCCUAACCGACUAGGAUCUUCUUUUUCUGAUCCACUUUAAGCCCAUGUUGGCCCAAUCGCUCCAGCCUUCCAAUAGGCCGAUCUCCACCAACUCCAUCCGCCAAAACACUAUAGCACCAAUCGGCCGAUCCCCAACUGUAGCACCAAUCGGCCGAUUCCCAAUCGUGACCUUUUAAUCCCCCAUAUCAGCCAAUCCUCUCUUCUCUUGACGCCGAUCCCAUACGUGUCAAAAUCUGGCGUCAACAGUCUCCCCUCAUGGUGUGAUACAGGGACACCAAUCGAACUCAGGUCAUCAAUAAAGUCAACACAAAACUCAAUAACC